GCGCAGCAGUCGCGAAUCCUUCGCAAUGCGGGAAACCGCGACGAGGGGACUCCCAGUGCCUACGCUCAGCGUAGGCUGUUCCCGAGCCUAGAAAGCUCGGGGAGUAAGGGCUGGGUAAGACGGGUGCCAGCCGCCGCGGUAAUACCCGCAGCCCGAGUGGUGGCCACUAUUAUUGGGCCUAAAGCGUCCGUAGCCGGCCCGGUAAAUGCCUGGGUAAAUCCGUGAGGCCUAACCUCACGAAUUCCGGGUAGACUGCCGGGCUAGGGGACCGGAGGAGGGAGAGGGGUACUCCAGGGGUAGGGGUGAAAUCCUGUAAUCCCUGGAGGACCACCGGUGGCCGAAGGCGCUCUCCUAGGACGGGUCCGACGGUGAGGGACGAAA
rnacentral:rRNA from 1 species